rnacentral:rRNA from 1 species
UGGUGAUUAUUGCUAUAGGAAACACCUCUUCCCAUGCCGAACAGAGAAGUUAAGCCUAUAAGCGCCGAUGGUACUGCUAAGGUGGGAGAGUAGGUCGUUGCCAACAA